AUUGAACGCUGGCGGCAGGCCUAACACAUGCAAGUCGAACGCAUUGCGGACGGGUGAGUAAGUUCUGGGAAACUGCCCGAUGGGGGGGGAUAACGUAGGGAAACUUACGCUCAUACCGCAUACUCUUUAAUGGGCCGAUGUCGGAUUAGCUAGUUGGCGGGGUAAAGGCCCACCAAGGCGACGAUCCGUAGCUGGUCUGAGAGGAUGAUCAGCCACACUGGAACUGAGACACGGUCCAGACUCCUACGGGAGGCAGCAGUGGGGAAUAUUGGACAAUGGGCGCAAGCCUGAUCCAGCCAUACCGCGUGGGUGAAGAAGGCCUUCGGGUUGUAAAGCCCUUUUGUUGGGAAAGCGGUACCCAAAGAAUAAGCACCGGCUAACUUCGUGCCAGCAGCCGCGGUAAUUC
rnacentral:rRNA from 1 species